ensembl:lncRNA
CUCUUCCUUCUUUAGAAAGCAUCGCUGAGCAUUUGUUGUUCCCUAGUGUUGAGGGAAGCGUCUGGUAGCAUUUCAGUUAACGGAAUUUGAGGCACUCUCCUUUCCGUCCGUUUGUUAGAAUCUUGGUUUUAACCGUAAAAUUGCAGCCGUUGAGAGGGCUUGGGUUCUAGCUAGUACGCAGUAGCUACGGUAAGUGACUGGAGACAAAUGCAGACGAGCGCGGAGCUCCAGGCAGCCUCUGGGCCCAGGAUAGCACCUGCGUACACUGUUCCCUAAAUCGGAGGCACUUAGCCUUUCGGGAAACAGAGUCCGGGUGACGGCAGCAAAGUCCAGAGGUAAAGAGGAAACUGUAUGUCCUUAGAUGGGGAUGGAUUCAUUUGGAGAAGUUUCAACUUGGCGAUUCUGUGCAGCAGUCCUGAGGACCGGACCAGCACGGAGAGUACAAGGCUGCCCAGAGCCCUUGUGAAGGUGCCUCCCACCAGAGGAUGAAGACAGGCCCCCUGUGCAGAAGCGGAGGAUGACUCCUGUCCCUGCCAGGCAAUGCAGAGUGAAGAAGUUUGGUAAAUAGUCACAGCCCCUGAGGCGGGUAGAAAUCCAUUUGAACAGCACACAAGCAAUUCAGACUGACAUAUAAGAAGGUCAGAAGACAGUUCUCCUGCCUACUCUGCCAUGGACUAUUUCCCCUCUGCAGUGUCUCUCUGCCAUGGUGCCCUGCCUUGGAGCCAGCUGAUAAUAGAUUGAAACCUCUGCAAACUGUGAGCCAGAAUAAACCUUUCCUCUUUUUAACCUGGGGGUGUUGAGUAUUUUGCCCCAGCAAUAAAAAAUAAGUAAGACAACCAGACCUCCAACUUCCACCUCAAUGGCAGUUUGAAUUAGAAAUGUAAAAUUUAGAACCAAAAUUCUGGUUGCUCAUUGUCCCUCCAUGGACUCCCCAGCUCCGGGAGGAAGUACGAUGUGCUGAUUAUCUUUGGCUUCUUCUGGAAGAGUCUGGAAUCUUCUAGAUUAUCCAAACAAGAGGCUUCUCUGAUCCAUCCCUGGACUGUGAUUGAUGUCAGCUUGGUCUUUGUGCUGAAAUAGCUCACCUUCCCCAGGCCCAGAGAUCCGGAAGGUGGGGAGAGAGACCCUGUCAGCCUUCAUGGGGCCAUUUUUCUAGAUGAGAAUAUUGACACAUUAAGUCACUAGCAGCUACAGUUUCAGUCAACUUACAAAUCCACCGUCAUCUCUUUUUUUUUGGUACUGGGGAUCGAACUCAGGACCUUGUGUUUGUGAGGCAGGUGGCGGCACCACUGAGCUAGAUCCCCAGCCCACCGACCCCUUUAUUCUUAACUGCAGUCCUGAGCCCUCAUUUCCAGUUGUGGUUCACAGACAUUUUGCACCUCACUCCAAAACUCACUCAGGAAGCUUUAGGUUAGACCCAGCUUCCUGCUUUAUAAGAAAGACUGACUUACGGUGAUUAUGCCUGGGGACUAGAGUACCUUGGGAGAAGAUGGAGUGUGUUGUGUGCACUCACACUUUUGCUUUUUCCCUUACUUCACAUCUGCACUUCUUACCACACUGCAAACAUAACUAAACAUCAUGACCAUGAAACCACAUACUCAAUCCCCAAUCCCAUUUCCUUAUGUGUCACUAACAUAUCUGUCCCUAAAUUUGGCUGAUUGCACACAACUUAAGUCUUUGCCUCCUACUCUGUGCAAACCCAUCCGGUAAUGUGUCAAUGGCAGGGUGCCACCCUGAAGUGCAUAUUUGUAAAUGUGCCAUCAUACUGACAAAUACCUGUGACCCUAAAUUUGAAGAUGGAUAGUUAAUUAUUCAGGGGGAGAAAUUCCUCCAGAAGCAGUGGCACAGGGGACAGGAAGAUCUCCCAGGUGGGCUCAGGUCAUAAGCACUGUGGAUAUGAACUAGGAUGAACACAUAGCAAUAAUUCUCUUCCAUUUCUGAAUAUGCAGCCUGUUCCAUUUGAUACCUCCUUGUUCCACAUUCACUUUGUUGUAACUAAAUCCUGACAAACAGUAGAAAUACAACUUUUAGGGAGAAAUGGAAAUUUAUGCCUAGUGGGUAUUCACUGGGGACAAAAAUCAGCAUUUAAUUUGCAGUGUCAUUUGGACCCAAUUGGCCUGAAAUAAAU